GAGUUUGAUCCUGGCUCAGGACGAACGCUGGCGGCAUGCCUAAUACAUGCAAGUCGAGCGGACUUGAAGAGAAGCUUGCUUCUCUGAUAGUUAGCGGCGGACGGGUGAGUAACACGUAGGCAACCUGCCCUCAAGUUUGGGACAACUACCGGAAACGGUAGCUAAUACCGAAUAGUUGUUUUCUUCGCCUGAAGGAAACUGGAAAGACGGAGCAAUCUGUCACUUGGGGAUGGGCCUGCGGCGCAUUAGCUAGUUGGUGGGGUAACGGCUCACC
rnacentral:rRNA from 1 species